rnacentral:rRNA from 1 species
CAACGCGAAAAACCUUACCUGGUCUUGACAUGUAACGAAUCCUUGAGAGAUUGAGGAGUGCCCGAAAGGGAGCGUUAACACAGGUGCUGCAUGGCUGUCGUCAGCUCGUGUCGUGAGAUGUUGGGUUAAGUCCCGCAACGAGCGCAACCCUUGCCAUUAGUUCCCAUCAUUAAGUUGGGCACUCUAAUGGGACUGCCGGUGACAAACCGGAGGAAGGUGGGGAUGACGUCAAGUCCUCAUGGCCCUUAUGACCAGGGCUUCACACGUCAUACAAUGGUCGGUACAGAGGGUCGCGAAGCCGCGAGGUGGAGCUAAUCUCAUAAAACCGAUCGUAGUCCGGAUCGCAGUCUGCAACUCGACUGCGUGAAGUCGGAAUCGCUAGUAAUCGCGGAUCAGCAUGUCGCGGUGAAUACGUUCCCGGGCCUUGUACACACCGCCCGUCAC